rnacentral:misc_RNA from 1 species
AAAGGUGCAUGAGUGGUGUUUGGUUUGUGUACGGGUGGUUGGCUCCUUGCUUGCGCAACCAACUUCCACCCGGCAUACCUCUUCAGUAUCGUGUCAAUGCUUGUAUCGCAUUGAACUCAUGACGGGUUUCUUGUGUUGAAUUCCUAACUAAUGGUAUCGUUUGACGAAUCUGCUACUAUUUUCGUCUUGCGUCGCACACACGAUGUGAGAUGAACCUUAAAGCCACCUUUGUGACCCACAUGUUCGUUGCACACGCAUCGAUUUUGUGGUUCACUUAGUGUUGAUUGGUCUCAUCAGUAUGGAACCUUGUGUGGGCAUGGGAUCUUUUAGUAGUUCCUAGUUUGCCCUGGUUAAGCUUUUCAAAUACGAUUUCCUACUACGUUUUAACGUGUAGGUUAUAUCGAAUAUGAAUGCUACCUGGUUGAUCCUGCCAGUAGUCAUAU